rnacentral:rRNA from 1 species
CCUACGGGAGGCUGCAGUGGGGAAUAUUGGACAAUGGGGGCAACCCUGAUCCAGCCAUGCCGCGUGUGUGAAGAAGGCCCUCGGGUUGUAAAGCACUUUCAGUGAGGAAGAACGCCUGGUGGUUAAUACCCAUCAGGAAAGACAUCACUCACAGAAGAAGCACCGGCUAACUCCGUGCCAGCAGCCGCGGUAAUACGGUGGGUGCGAGCGUUAAUCGGAAUUACUGGGCGUAAAGCGCGCGUAGGUGGCUUGAUAAGCCGGUUGUGAAAGCCCCGGGCUCAACCUGGGAACGGCAUCCGGAACUGUCAAGCUAGAGUGCAGGAGAGGAAGGUAGAAUUCCCGGUGUAGCGGUGAAAUGCGUAGAGAUCGGGAGGAAUACCAGUGGCGAAGGCGGCCUUCUGGACUGACACUGACACUGAGGUGCGAAAGCGUGGGUAGCAAACAGGAUUAGAUACCCUUGUAGUC